UAAAAAAAAAAUCUUUGGAGAAUAACCGCAAAAUUUUUUGCCGACUUAACGUACAAGUUGCUUCUUCUUCUUAGAAUCUCAGUGAGUUGAUAAGGUACUUCAUUUAAAAGGAUCGGUCCAAUUAACAUGACUGUUGAGUAUCGAAAGAGAAACUCAUUACUCUCAAAUCGAGCUUUGAUAAGCAUCCUUGCCUCAUAGUGACAAAAGCCAAAAUUGGGAAGGCCUAUAAGGGAUGCCCUAUCAUCCAAUAACAUUCUUUCUUGGCAUGGCCUCCUCUUCCACAGUGAUCGCAUUUGAUGAAAAGUUUCUUACCCUUGUUGGGCUGGCCUCGAUUGAACUGUAUAGCUAAAGGUUCUCCCUUCCCUCCCAAUGCUGGAAAGGGACAAGAUCUUUGACUCACAUCUUCACUAAUUAGAGCAUAAGCCCGAUUCAGAGAAGGUUCUAUAGAGAAGGUUCUACUAUUUUUAACAAUAUUUGUCUUCAAACUUGGUCAUAUGAUUCAUUCAAUCUGCUGUGAAAUUGUACUAAUCUUUGCCUCUGCAAAUGCUCAGUGUACUCUUUUGAUUUCACACAAUCAUAGCCUAGUGUAGGGACCAAAUCAUCAUACUCAGACCAGAUCUCCCUCAAUCGAGUGAAAUACACAGCUACAGAAUCUAUGCACUGAGAAAUUAUGGCAAUUUCACGAUGCAAUUGAAACAUACAGACAUGGUUCAGUUUAUUAAAACACUCUUUCAGUUCCUUCCACACCAGAUGCACUCGAUGAGUACACAAUGCCACUAAGGAGGCUUGCAGAGACUAUAUUCAUGAUCCAUGAAAGAACGAUUGCAUUGCAGACAUUGCAGGUAAUUCCUCAUGGGAAGCUCAGGUAGAUUGCAAUUUCGAUGCCAUUUGGAAAUUGCAACUGACAAAACACAACUCUUAUUGAGAACUAUCAUGUGCAUUAAACUACUGGACUUCGUCAUCAUAUCAUUGUAGGUGCACUUCAUCAAUAUACUGCUAACUUGCAAUCACGAUCAGUGUGAUGCAAAAACUAGGCCUAUGUACUCCGCCUGAACUUUGCUAAUUGCGAGAGCUUACACUAGUAAAAUAUGAACUUACUUGGUACAUCUAUUAAUUUCACUAUACUCAACUUACAUGGUAUGUGGUUUAUAUUUCUAUCUUUUCUUUAAUACAUCAUGAUGGUACCAUAUCUUUUAUCAUAUUUGUUGGUUAUUUGAUAAAUUGCUUGUUCUUUUCUUGAUAAGGCUAAGACUAUAUUAAACACAAAAGAGACGAACACGCGAAUGAAAAUAUGCUUUAUCUUUUCCUGUAAUAUUUUUGUGAAGACCAUUCAAAGAACCAAUCUAUUGAUAUGCACGGGAAAACACUUAUGAAAAAAAAAUCUACUCUUUCUUUUUAGGCACUUAGUGCAUGAUAGACAUAAGUGAUUGUAAACUUCACUAUUGUAUUGGUGCAAGGAAAUAAUAGCGUCUUAAAACUUUUCAUUCUUGAGCAUGCAUUCCAAUCAAUAAUAACAACGCACCAGUGUAGUCUCAUAAUGUGGAGUCUGGGGAAGGGGUAAAGUAAAUGUAUACCUUACGUCUCAAUUAAGAAUAUUUGAAAUACAGGUAUUUGGCCUGAUUAAGACUACUACUUUUGGAGGAAGAUUAGGUGUGCUUAUUGUAAACUGGCUGAAGAGACAAUAGUUUACUGCGACUAACUAGGAUGAUUAUAUUUCUUGGAAUUUGUCACAUGCUCGAGGCAGGUCCAAGGCUGAUCAUAUGUUCAAGAUGAUUUAUGAGGAGGUCCUUCAUGCUAUAUGGAUAGAAAGAAAUCAGAGAGUGUUUGAGAAAUAAAGAAGAUCACCACUGGACAUUGCCAAUGAGCUUGUAUUUGCUUGCAGUGCUAAAGAUUCACCUAGAAUCCAAAAUUCGCUCCAACACUGAACCUUCUGAAGUCCUAGGUCUUGAGCUAUUUCUUAGUAUUGACAAUAUGUUUGAUCUUUUAUAGGAUAGAGAUAAGUUUGUUUUCUUUCUUGUUUUAAAUCUAAGACGGCUAGUUGAGUUGUAACUAGGCUGUGGAUUUGUAAAGAGUACCUGGUAAUUAAUAAAAUACCUCCCCCCCCCAAAAAAAAGAUAAUAAUAAAGAAACAACAGAUGUCAUUUGUUUAUUGAUUGAUCAUAUAUAAUUAUUUCUAUUAAAUGACA